UUAGGCUAACCACUUCUGGUGCAGUCCACUCCCAUGGUGUGACGGGCGGUGUGUACAAGGCCCGGGAACGUAUUCACCGUGCCAUUCUGAUGCACGAUUACUAGCGAUUCCGACUUCACGGAGUCGAGUUGCAGACUCCGAUCCGGACUGAGACCGGCUUUAUGAGAUUAGCUCCACGUCGCCGCUUUGCAACCCAUUGUACCGGCCAUUGUAGCACGUGUGUAGCCCUACCCGUAAGGGCCAUGAUGACUUGACGUCGUCCCCACCUUCCUCCGGUUUGUCACCGGCAGUCUCCCUAGAGUUCCCGACCGAAUCGCUGGCAAAUAGGGACAAGGGUUGCGCUCGUUACGGGACUUAACCCAACAUUUCACAACACGAGCUGACGACAGCCAUGCAGCACCUGUCURUGCGCUCCCGAAGGCACCAAUCCAUCUCUGGAAAGUUCGCACGAUGUCAAGGGUAGGUAAGGUUCUUCGCGUUGCAUCGAAUUAAACCACAUGCUCCACCGCUUGUGCGGGCCCCCGUCAAUUCAUUUGAGUUUUAACCUUGCGGCCGUACUCCCCAGGCGGUCGACUUAGUGCGUUAACUGCGCCACAAAGGUCUCGAGGACCCCAACGGCUAGUCGACAUCGUUUACGGCGUGGACUACCAGGGUAUCUAAUCCUGUUUGCUACCCACGCUUUCGUACCUCAGCGUCAGUGUCAGUCCAGAAGGCCGCCUUCGCCACUGGUAUUCCUCCCGAUCUCUACGCAUUUCACCGCUACACCGGGAAUUCUACCUUCCUCUCCUGCACUCUAGCCUAACAGUUCCGGAUGCCGUUCCCAGGUUGAGCCCGGGGCUUUCACAACCGGCUUAUCAAGCCGCCUACGCACGCUUUACGCCCAGUAAUUCCGAUUAACGCUCGCACCCUCCGUAUUACCGCGGCUGC
rnacentral:rRNA from 1 species